rnacentral:rRNA from 1 species
CACGUAGGGUGCGAGCGUUGUCCGGAAUUAUUGGGCGUAAAGAGCUCGUAGGCGGUGUGUCGCGUCGGCCGUGAAAACCUGCAGCUUAACUGUGGGCUUGCGGUCGAUACGGGCAUCACUGGAGUUCGGCAGGGGAGACUGGAAUUCCUGGUGUAGCGGUGAAAUGCGCAGAUAUCAGGAGGAACACCGGUGGCGAAGGCGGGGUCUCUGGGCCGAUACUGACGCUGAGGAGCGAAAGCGUGGGGGAGCGAACGG